GAACCCUUCGCGUGAAAAUUGAUUUUACUUCUACAAAUUUUACUUCUUUUCUAUGCUUUUUAUCAAGUGACAUGUGGAACAAAAGAGGAAAUAAAGAAGCGACUGCUGAAGGCCCUCUCGAAGGCGGGUUAUACCUUAAAAGUCAUAGGUACCACGGGCGAGGUCCUUGGCGAUGCCAUUAUGCAUGGAUAUCGUUCGCUCUCUGUUUAAAAAAGGGGAAUUGGAGAUUGAAAUGGAGGCUCAAUGGAGGGCGAAAUUGGACGCUGACUUGAAGACUAAAUUGAAGGCUCAAUUGGAAAAGAAGAAACCAGUGUGUGAACCAGCGAAUUUCAAAUGUAAAAUUCUGAACAUUUUUGGUAUGGAUUUAAAUGUUACAAAAGAAGAAUCGGGGGAUAAAAAAGCUACAGUU